UUUUCAAAAGAGAGGGGGAGUUUGGGGAGUAGAAUCUCCAAUGAACCAAUAUAGGGCAAGCAUGUGGCAUCGAGCUUGGCUUCUAUUAGAGAUUGCCGUAGCCAAUCCAUUAUGUGCCUACAACAUCCACUUGUGAGUCAUCUCUAUUAGCACCAACAAGUAGCAAUGCUUUUAGUUCUUAGGGCCUCUUUCUAUACUUAAUUGGUGGAAAAAAAUUGUUGUUAAAAUACAAAUUCAUUCCUUGAUUAUUUGACACAUCAUUAGUUUUAGUAAUGAGACCUGUAGCUCAUCCUUCACCAAUUUUGGGAAGUGGAAAAUGUAGGUAGAAUAGUCCAUUGAUAAAUUGAUGUAUUUUUGACUUGCAAUAAGAAGCCAUUUGGUCUUUAUAUGACCUCUUAUGCAAGAUCAUAUAGUGCUUCACUCUCUUACACAUGGAAGUGCAAAUUUUGAAAUUAGGUGGAUUUUACCUUGCAAAAUUCAUUAGAUGUAGACAAAUUCCAAGAAUAACAUUACCCAC
rnacentral:lncRNA from 1 species